UCUUAAUUUUAUCAAGGAUAUUCGACGAAACGAAACUUCCAAACUAUUACGGAGAACAUGUCAAUCUGCCUUUGAAUUUAAGAUCCCACAAAGCUGCUUAGCCUGUCGAAAGAUAAAUAUUCAACCGCUAAAUGGAUGGUCUCUUACAAGUUAGAGAAUGACACCUGAAAGUCUUGGGAAUUCCAAACAUUCCAGGCAUUCAUUCGAAUUAAUACCUAAAAUGAAUACGAAGAGGGAAGCUUCAGGGUUCAAAGGAGAGAAAAAAGGAAAUCUCUGAGGCGGCGAAAAUUUUAUUUCAGUUUCCUACAAUAACCGAUUAAUUUUCGAUGUUGCAGAAAAGAUGAGAAAUAUUUCGUGGGGAUCUCUCGAGACGAAAUUAAUCAGAUGUCAAUAAAAGAUGAUCAGAAACGAGGGAGUAACAGUAGCGCAAUCUUAAUUACGCCCGACGACGAUUAUAUCGUUAAUGGUAGCGCUACGCGAUAACAACGAUAAUAACAAACGCAAGAGGAAAGAGAGAUGAACCGGGAAAGACACAGGAGGAAACGUACAAACGUAGCUUUUAAAGAGCUGGAAGGGACCCCCCUUGAGCGCGUAUAUAUACGGAUGGGGGGAACAGGUUCCCGGCAUGGUUACUGCGUAUUCACCGAGCUGAAAACCUUGGGCCCCCAUCUGGAGCGAGAGAGAGAUGGAGGAAGAAAGAAUGAACCGAACAACGAGUGAAGCAGCGAAGGGAGAAGAGACAGGGUAUUUGCUCAUCUCAUCUCGCUCCAGUCGAGAUGCUGCGCUAGCUUCUCGCGGACACCCGAUACAGGUCGAGAAA